rnacentral:lncRNA from 1 species
GGGGGGAGUGGGGGGUGGGGGCAGGGGGGUUGAGGCGGGGCGAGGGAGGCGGCUUCUGCUGGGAAGCAGGGAGGCUGGCUUCCAGGCGGGGUUUUUUUCUCCCUCUGCACAUGUGUGAGAGCGGACCACCAGGAACUGCUUAACCCGGGAUUUGUCCUGUUUAGGCAACGGGGAGGACGUGGUGGUUGUUGUUGAUGCCUUGAAGGAAACGGCAAGUUACUUAAUUACAAGGUUUGGUCUCCCUUGCCAGGAGAGACCCCCUCCAAACCCGAAACUGUACACAUCCUGCGGCAGAAUUGUCCCCCUAAAUUCCUGGACACGAAUGGCCUUGGUGGGCUGUGGAGUGUGAGUUCCUCUGAAAGGCACCGGUGUGCCUUUCUCAAUGUUCUGCUCACUUAAGUGGAUCCCUAAAUUAGACCUUAAAAGCAGCGGAAGUCCCCCAGCAGCCGGGAGGGGGAACGCCACAGAACCCACUGUGUAAUCCUGGCCAGGUUCUGGGCACGGGCUGCUUCCUGGGCUUUCCGAAUGCCAUGGAAGUGAACACCGGGAUGCCUCUUCCUGUGCCUCUGGUCUCCCCAUGCCCCCCGGUGCUAGUGGGGAAAAAGCCCCUUGGGGUCACAGUGGGCCCCUGAGGGGUCCCAGGCCAGGCCAACCGCGGGGACAGGAGCACCCCAAAGGGAGAGAGCCGUGCUAGGAAGAAGCUGCAGGCGGGCCGAGGUGCCCCUAUGCGGUGCCAGUGGGCCCGGGGUGGCGUCCCCCACAGCCAGCCCCACCCCGGGUCAGACGGCACCAGAGUGAGCCUCCGGGCUUCACGACCCCCCCCCCCCCCUCCCGCCGUGCAUCUGGACAACCACCGUCACAGAAGACGUGGAUUCUGACAAGGAUUAUUUCUGUUGAUGGCAGAGGUGCUUCUAUUAGGCACCCAGCCAGACGUGCCCCAGCAGGGAGAAUAUUCCAGACUUUUUUAGAAGGCUGCCUGAGGGGAUCUGGAUGCUUUACGGGUAUUUCCCUGUGCCCCCCCCCCCCUUCCUACACCCACUGUAUUAACUGCAUUAAAACAUUCUCAACCAAAACAAAACAAAAACCUCUCAGUUUGUAAACCAUGUUUCUCAGUUAACUGGCUAGGUAGAGAAAGGGGCACAUUAACUUUCCCUUUUAGGGGAAGCAAAGAAGGAGAGGAGGAAGGGUCAAAAGAAGCUGGAGGAGGGAGGAGAGAGAAGGAGGAAGCAGUAAGGCAGGAAGACUGGCAAUAAUAAGUCCAUUUCGCCCAUGUAGAGCACUUCACGGUUAGGACUUAUUAUAGUGGAUUUUGUAUCCAUUAACUCAUAACUACCCUUUGAUAAUUAUGCCCGUUUUAAGGACUGGGAGGCCGAGGUCCAGAGCAGCGAAGUAACUGUGCCCAUGUUCCGGCAGUCAGUCGCUGGUGGAGCCGGGAUGGAGCCAGGGUCUCCUGCCUCUUAUCCGCUCCUGUGAGGCCCUGAGUCAUAG